AGAGUUGUGGUCCGCUUCGUCAUUGAACCGUAAGCUAACAAAAUCGUAUUUUAAAUCACUUUUAUGAACAUGGCAUCGUCAUAGAAAUCAUUACUUUACAGGAACAUUGUGGUGUAUCUGUCCUUAUGGGACGAAGCUGCGGCAAUGUUUCAUAAACAGCUCAAUGGAGAUCUACUUGUUUUUAUGGGACGAACCUGUAGUCAAGUUUAAGGGUCUUCUUAAAUCAGGGGAUAGAACUAACUCUGUCAUUUUGGUCACAACUGUGAUCCCAUUAAAAACUGGAGGCACCAUGUUUGUCAAAUCAUCUCCAGCUACCAAUUUUUUUUUGGGACCCCAAUCUCCCACCCAUCAUAGAGUUCACAGCUAGCUUAAAAGAUGCCAGGGGGAAGAGUUCCCCUGUUUCCAGACUUCAAACACCAAUGCAGCUCCAUUGUUUAAGAAAGACAUUGGUCAAGCAUCUGUUUCUCCCAACACCGAAAUUGAAGGUCAAGAGGAUGACA